AGAUCUCAAUUUAUUCAUUCGUUUCCUAGACUUCGUGGAAGUAACACCUUGGCGGCUAAAGGUUAAGGCAAUGAAAUGAGCGGAAGAAACCUAUGGACAAUAACAAGCUGACUAUCCUCGUCUAAACACCCAUACAAAUCGUAACAAAAUGUAACAAAACUAAAUGUACCUGGACUGUCGCAAUGCGGGUUAAAAACCAUAAUCCCAUCAUAAUCAUUUUAUUCUCAACACUACAAAAAAGGAAUACAAUUAACUAAUAUGAAUAUGUGGACCAUGGCGAUGGUGAUACUUAGAAUGAUGCUAUACAAGGAAUAUAAUUUUCGGCACGAAUAUAAAACAAUAUUUACAGAAUUUUCACACUGACUCACUCUCAAAUACAACACAUAUUUGAAAGUACACAUUACAUAUUAUAUUGACAUUAAACGAUAAACAAUUACUCUCACUCAUGUAAUUGUUAAUAAAAUGUUCGCUCCAAACAAAAA